rnacentral:lncRNA from 1 species
AUUAAAACCGAGCAGCUUCUUCUAUAUCUAAUUAAUGAACACGUGAGACACCUGUGAGAAAAUAUCGACAGAAGUGAACACACACGGAUGAAUGACGCAAAAUGGACUGAAAGAUUGAAACUCCACUCACAGAUGUGGUCAUUAACAGCGUACCUUUCGCUGUCAUAACAGUAUAAAGCUCCUCAGAAAGCUAAAAGAAAGUGUUUAGUUAUCGAAGAAAAGCAAACAUGUUAUCAAAACCACGCCGAAAUGUGUUAAUUAAGCGUUUUCAACCUUUCACAUCUGUAUUUAGGUGUCGUGGUGGGACGGGUGGUUUUUUCCGGUCGGGAGGUGGCAGACGGACCCCUUCCUCAAGCUGCAUGAGUCGGGCUACAUCCGGCGGGAUGUGCUCUGGUUUGACCCCUGCUGGCGGAGGCUGGAAACUACCAUUGUUCUGCUGACAGUUUGGCAAUGCCGGGUUAGUCGUGGGCUUCGUUUCACAAAUAAGAGGGACCUGUUGUGAAAAAAAACAGGGAAAGACAGAUUUUAAAGAUUGUUUGAUUUGUCAUUGGCUAUGUUUUCAUUCAAAGAUGCAAUUUAGAGUUAGGCACAAACUGAAAUAUUGCAUAAAACAUUUGCUAAUAAAUUACUGUUUCCAUCAAAU